rnacentral:rRNA from 1 species
AUUGAACGCUGGCGGCAGGCCUAACACAUGCAAGUCGAGCGGAGCGGCGGAGGGGUGAGUAAUGCCUAGGAAUAUGCCUGGUAGUGGGGGAUAAGGUUCGGAAACGGGCGCUAAUACCGCAUACUAUCAGCAGAGGAUAGGCCGGAAUAGCUAGUUGGUGGGGUAAAGGCCCACCAAGGCGACGAUCCGUAGCUGGUCUGAGAGGAUGAUCAGUCACACUGGAACUGAGACACGGUCCAGACUCCUACGGGAGGCAGCAGUGGGGAAUAUUGGACAAUGGGCGAAAGCCUGAUCCAGCCAUGCCGCGUGUAUGAAGAAGGUCUUCGGAUUGUAAAGCACUGUAAGUUGGGAGGCGUUACCAACAGAAGAAGCACCGGCUAACUUCGUGCCAGCAGCCGCGGUAAUAC